UACAGAGGUGUCAAGCGUUGUUCGGAUUCAUUGGGCGUAAAGGGUGCGUAGGCGGCGCGGUAAGUCGGGUGUGAAAUCUCGGAGCUUAACUCCGAAACUGCAUUCGAUACUGCCGUGCUUGAGGACUGGAGAGGAGACUGGAAUUUACGGUGUAGCGGUGAAAUGCGUAGAUAUCGUAAGGAAGACCAGUGGCGAAGGCGGGUCUCUGGACAGUUCCUGACGCUGAGGCACGAAUGCCAGGGGAGCAAACGGG
rnacentral:rRNA from 1 species